rnacentral:rRNA from 1 species
CAGCAGCAGCCGCGGUAAUACAGAGGGUGCGAGCGUUAAUCGGAUUUACUGGGCGUAAAGCGUGCGUAGGCGGCUUUUUAAGUCGGAUGUGAAAUCCCUGAGCUUAACUUAGGAAUUGCAUUCGAUACUGGGAAGCUAGAGUAUGGGAGAGGAUGGUAGAAUUCCAGGUGUAGCGGUGAAAUGCGUAGAGAUCUGGAGGAAUACCGAUGGCGAAGGCAGCCAUCUGGCCUAAUACUGACGCUGAGGUACGAAAGCAUGGGGAGCAAACAGGAUUAGAUACCCCGGUAGUCCCUGUCUCUUAUAC